rnacentral:tRNA from 1 species
UGGGGUGUGGCUCAGUUUUAGAGCACUUGCCUAGCACGUGCAAGCCCCUGGGUUCCAUCCCCAGCACCAUUA